UACGUAGGUGGCAAGCGUUGUCCGGAUUUACUGGGCGUAAAGAGCGCGCAGGCGGUCGUUCAAGUCGCGUGUGAAAGCCCCCCGGCUCAACUGGGGAGGGUCACGCGAUACUGAUCGACUCGAAGGCAGGAGAGGGUAGUGGAAUUCCCGGUGUAGUGGGUGAAAAUGCGUAGAUAUCGGGAGGAACACCAGUGGCGAAGGCGGCCUCUGGACCAAUACUGACGCUCAUGCACGAAAGCGUGGGGAGCAAACAGG
rnacentral:rRNA from 1 species